CUCAGGGCUGGUCUUGUGCUGUGGAGUUCUGAAAGAGAAAGAUAACAGAGAGAGAACGUGACUAUGAUAUCUGCAAACUGAGCCAAGAGGCUAACUGUGCAUUCAAGUCCUCGUGGAAAAUUUGUAUUUAUGACUUGCGAAGUCAUAAUUACGACGUCAGGUGCGCUCGAGUCACUUUGGUCGAAGCAUGCCGGCGGUGUACCUUCUCUUGACUGACUACAAAAAAAUACAGAUGCUGUAACCUCGUGGUGCCUCAAACACAGAUGCUGGAAUUUCACCUCCGUGGCAUGAGUCUAAGCCGAGAAUGCCUGUCUUGUUCCUGCAAUCAGAGGGGUAGAUGUUUUAACACUGAGGAUCUGCAGAGCUGUGUUGUGACCACUGGGGCAGAGAGCCGUGCAGCUACCUGCUCAUCACUGGGCUGCAGAAUCCCCAACAGACUGAGAGCAUUACUUUGAGGACGAGAGGAGGGAGAGGAUGGGAAACAUGGUAGUGUCUCACAGAAC